GACGAACGCUGGCGGCGUGCUUAACACAUGCAAGUCGAGCGACAGCAUCCUUUCGGGGGUGUAUGGAGCGGCGAACGGGUGAGUAACACGUGAGCAACCUGCCUCGGGCUUUGGGAUAACCCUCGGAAACGGGGGCUAAUACCGGAUAGGACUUCUGACCGCAUGGUUGGGGGUGGAAAGUUUUUCGGCCUGGGAUGGGCUCGCGGCCUAUCAGCUUGUUGGUGGGGUGAUGGCCUACCAAGGCGACGACGGGUAGCCGGCCUGAGAGGGCGACCGGCCACACUGGGACUGAGACACGGCCCAGACUCCUACGGGAGGCAGCAGUGGGGAAUAUUGCACAAUGGGCGAAAGCCUGAUGCAGCGACGCCGCGUGAGGGAUGACGGCCUUCGGGUUGUAAACCUCUUUCGGCCCUGACGAAGCGCAAGUGACGGUAGGGGCAGAAGAAGCGCCGGCCAACUACGUGCCAGCAGCCGCCGUAACAC
rnacentral:rRNA from 1 species